AACGAACGCUGGCGGCGUGCUUAACACAUGCAAGUCGAGCGAGAAAGGGGGGGCAACCCCCUGAGUAGAGCGGCGCACGGGUGAGUAACGCGUGGGUAACCUACCCCCAGGCGGGGGAUAACCACUCGAAAGGGUGGCUAAUACCGCAUGAGACCACGGGAUCUUCGGAUCCUGAGGCUAAAGAUUGCACCGGCUUGCCGGUGCCGUCACCAGGGGAUGGGCCCGCGUCCGAUUAGCUAGUUGGCGAGGUAAUGGCUCACCAAGGCUACGAUCGGUAGCUGGUCUGAGAGGAUGAUCAGCCACACUGGAACUGAAACACGGUCCAGACUCCUACGGGAGGCAGCAGUGAGGAAUAUUGCGCAAUGGGGGAAACCCUGACGCAGCAACGCCGCGUGGGUGAAGAAGGCCUUCGGGUCGUAAAGCCCUUUCGGACGGGACGAACGCUUUGCGGUGAAAGCCGCGAA
rnacentral:rRNA from 1 species